rnacentral:rRNA from 1 species
UUACCGAGUGAGGGCCCUCUGGGUCCAACCUCCCACCCGUGUUUAUUUUACCUUGUUGCUUCGGCGGGCCCGCCUUAACUGGCCGCCGGGGGGCUUACGCCCCCGGGCCCGCGCCCGCCGAAGACACCCUCGAACUCUGUCUGAAGAUUGUAGUCUGAGUGAAAAUAUAAAUUAUUUAAAACUUUCAACAACGGAUCUCUUGGUUCCGGCAUCGAUGAAGAACGCAGCGAAAUGCGAUACGUAAUGUGAAUUGCAAAUUCAGUGAAUCAUCGAGUCUUUGAACGCACAUUGCGCCCCCUGGUAUUCCGGGGGGCAUGCCUGUCCGAGCGUCAUUUCUGCCCUCAAGCACGGCUUGUGUGUUGGGCCCCGUCCUCCGAUCCCGGGGGACGGGCCCGAAAGGCAGCGGCGGCACCGCGUCCGGUCCUCGAGCGUAUGGGGCUUUGUCACCCGCUCUGUAGGCCCGGCCGGCGCUUGCCGAUCAACCCAAAUUUUUAUCCAGGUUGACCUCGGAUCAGGUAGGGAUACCCGCUGAACUUAAGCAUAUCAAUAAGCGGAGGAAAAGAAACCAACAGGGAUUGCCCCAGUAACGGCGAGUGAAGCGGCAAGAGCUCAAAUUUGAAAGCUGGCUCCUUCGGGGUCCGCAUUGUAAUUUGUAGAGGAUGCUUCGGGAGCGGUCCCCAUCUAAGUGCCCUGGAACGGGACGUCAUAGAGGGUGAGAAUCCCGUAUGGGAUGGGG